rnacentral:tRNA from 1 species
GCGGGGAUAGUUCAGUGGUAGAACGUCUCCUUGCCAAGGAGAAGGUCGCGGGUUCAAGUCCCGUUCCCCGCU